AGCAGCCGCGGUAAUUCCAGCUCCAAUAGCGUAUAUUAAAGUUGUUGCAGUUAAAAAGCUCGUAGUUGAAUUUCGGGGUUAGUAGGCUGGUCGUGCCACAGGUACGUACUGGUCUCACUGAUUCCUCCUUCCUGAUGAACCGUAAUGCCAUUAAUUUGGUGUUGCGGGGAAACUGGACUGUUACUUUGAAAAAAUUAGAGUGUUUAAAGCAGGCUAACGCUUGAAUACAUUAGCAUGGAAUAAUGAAAUAGGACGUUCGAUCCUAUUUUGUUGGUUUCUAGGAUUGACGUAAUGAUUAAUAGGGAUAGUUGGGGGCAUUAGUAUUCAAUUGUCAGAGGUGAAAUUCUUGGAUUUAUUGAAGACUAACUACUGCGAAAGCAUUUGCCAAGGAUGUUUUCAUUAAUCAAGAACGAAAGUUAGGGGAUCGAAGACGAUCAGAUACCGUCGUAGUCUUAACCAUAAACUAUGCCGACUAGGGAUCGGAUGAUGUUAAUUUUUUAAUGACUCAUUCGGCGCCUUACG
rnacentral:rRNA from 1 species